UACGAGUGCCUCAAGCGUUAUCCGGAAUCAUUGGGCGUAAAGGGUGUGUAGGUGGUUGCAUUAGUCUUCUGUUAAAUUUCCCGGCUUAACCGGGAACCUGCAGAGGAAACGGUGUGACUUGAGGGUGCGAGGGGUCUCUGGAACUCAUAGUGUAGCGGUGAAAUGCGUUGAUAUUAUGGGGAACACCAAAAGCGAAGGCAAGAGACUAGAGCAUUCCUGACACUGAAACACGAAAGCGUGGGUAGCGAAUGGG
rnacentral:rRNA from 1 species